UUGUGUUUUAGGUUUAUUUAUAUUUUGAGGCUUAAUUUAUGGUCCUUAGUGGGGUCUAAUUAGUCAAAAUUAUAGAUUUGUUAUUUGGAAUCCAAGUCCUCAUAGGAGUAGGAGUAUUAGAACUCUAUAAAUAGGGCUGUAAUCUCUUAUUAUGAAGGAAAUCAAAAAUUUCAGAGAUUUUUCCUAAGCAGUUAUGCUUUCUUUUAGAGUUGUGUGAUGCAAGUCUAACACUAGGUGUGAUACCUAUGGAAUUCUAGGUGUGAUUCCUAGAAAAUCUCUCUUUUCUUCUUCUUUUUCUUUAAUUAUAGCACCCUAAAAUCUCAAAUUCAGAUCUGAUUACAUCCCGACUAAACACUUGCAAGCAAAAGCAACAAAUCCAUAGCCACCCAUCCAUCAACUAGCCUUCAGAUUUACAAAACAAACAAAUUUUUAUUCCCGUUUUUCUUUUCCCAGCCCACGUAAAAUCCUCAAAACUUCUUCUUUUUGAUCCUAUUUUGCACCCAAAUCGCUUCCCAUACAUAUACCAACAUAAAACCUAGCUUCUUACACAAAGUCCCUACCUUUUUUAGCCCAAAACAACCCAUUCCCUGAAUUUUCCCUAAUCAAGGCUGUCCUACCCCACAAUUUCUCGGUUCCAUAAUGGAUUGCAGCCUAAUAUUAAGCAAGAAAUGAUUCCCCUAGUGGAUAAUGUUAGCCAGGCCUCCUAUUGGCACUAGAGUUGGAAAAGUACCUUAGACAUGUCAUUAAGGUGUUUAGCUCGCAAGCCAAGCAGUCCCUUACCUAAAAGAAAGUGAUAAACAAUUAAGAGCUGGUAAUUCUGCUCCCCCACUUUCCAACACAAUAGUUUUAACACUAAACAGAAGGGGAUGAUGAAGUCAAGGAUUUCGAUCACAUGGCAUAAUUUCUGGGAGUUUCAAUGGAGAAUAUUCAAGCACCAAAACUAUCUGAUGGGCCAAAUUGCUUCGAGUAUUGAGUCUGUAUUUAUUCAGUCUUUAAUUAGAGAAUCAGCCAUUAGGUUACUUGGCCCCUAUGUAACAAACACUUUCUAGUUACUCAGUUAUCAACUUCUUGACUUGUAAGUGAUUUGGUCCCAAUGUUAUAUAUUAUUUAUUGGUUAGUUAAUCCUCAUAUCAGGGUAAGCUAUAUAUAUAUAGGACAUAGGCAAGCUAAAAGAAUAGUCCUGAGUCAUAUUUUAUAUGUGAGUUUAAUUAAGAAAGAGUGUAUUCUUUGGCAAGGUUUGGACUCCUACCCCUCUGUUGCUUCCCUCUCUCAAACUCCAUCCUACUCCCCCUAUACUGCUUUCUUCUCUAAUCUCUCUCCUCUCUUUGUUUCCUUGAUUUCUUUCACCUCUUAGGCCUAUCUACAUUAUUGCAAGCCAUCCCCUUAAUUAUCCAGCAUCAAGUUGGCAUUAGAGGUAAAUUGCUAUAUCAUGGGGCACAAUUUCAAUCAUGAUGAUCCAAGCCCUCAACCAAUAGCUAUCAGCAUCGAUGGAUCCUAUCAUAGCAUCAGAACUCUCUAUAAAUUUCUUCAUAUACCGAGUUCAUAUUUAUUUAAUUUUUAAGUAUUAAUUAUUACAUUACUUGGCCCUCAAGUAGCUUAGUCGUUAAGUUACUUGGCCACCAUAUAAAUUACUUGAGGUCAGUCUUCUGAAAGGUGGCUUCAGUAUGCAGGCAGCCAAGGGAGCAUAUAGUGGAUAUGCGAUAUACGGCCCACACAAGCAGAUACAUGCAGUUACUAUUUUUAGUAUUUUACUAAUUAAAAAUAAAUAAAUUAUAUUAAAUAUAAUAAAAAUAGCAACAACAAUAUUAAUAUUUUAUCAAUAGACAAACAAUAUUAAUAACAAUGAACAAUAAUGAGUGUUUAAUACCUAAUAGCAAAAUACUUAUAACAUAAUUAACAUAUUAACAUUAUUAAAUACAUAUAUCAAGCCCAACUAAAAUCUGCAUCAAACAAAACCAUCAGAUUGAACUUGAUUCAUUUGUGAACCCAUAUAAGAAGUCAUUACCUAGUUAUGUUCCCAUUAAUUCGACAUCCUGGAAGGGUUUCACCUGGGGACAGACCUAGGUGUUUUGCCUAUGUGUUUAGUUUGUGAGCAUGCUAAGUGUGCCUAUGUUUGCCUAAGCUUGCUUACAGCAUCUCAAUCAGAUCCUCCCCAUGGCUAAGUUUGCAUGUGGCAUCUCAAUCAGUUAUCCCAUGUCAUAGUGCAGAUGGUUACCAGUUGUUAGACUAGAAGACCUAUUGAACUAAUUCCAUUGCCUCCUCAGUCAAGGCCAUUGGAACUUGUUGAAUCCCUUAACCUUUUUCCAAC
rnacentral:lncRNA from 1 species